rnacentral:misc_RNA from 1 species
UACGUAGGGGGCAAGCGUUGUCCGGAUUUACUGGGCGUAAAGCGCGCGCAGGCGGCAUCUUAAGUCUGGUGUGAAAGCCCCCGGCUCAACCGGGGAGGGCCAUUGGAAACUGGGAGGCUUGAGUAUAGGAGAGAAGAGUGGAAUUCCACGUGUAGCGGUGAAAUGCGUAGAGAUGCGGAGGAACACCAGUGGCGAAGGCGUCUCUUUGGCCUAUAACUGACGCUGAGGCGCGAAAGCGCGGGGAGCAAACAGG